CGUAAUUGCUUCUUUAAGCAAGUGGAGCUUGGCAUUAGCAGCAGGAACUGGAACACUUUGCUGCGUUUUCACUGAUGCCUAAGUGCAAGACAGAAAGAAGAAGGAAG